rnacentral:rRNA from 1 species
AGAGUUUGAUUCUGGCUCAGGAUGAACGCUGGCGGCGUGCCUAAUACAUGCAAGUCGAACGCUAAUCUUCGGAUUAGAGUGACGAACGGGUGAGUAACACGUAGGUAACCUGCCCAUAAGACGAGGAUAACUACUGGAAACGGUAGCUAAUACUGGAUAGUAUAUGAAGUCGCAUGGCUUUAUAUUUAAAGGUGCUCUCAAGCAUCACUUAUGGAUGGACCUGCGGCGCAUUAGCUAGUUGGUGAGGUAACGGCCCACCAAGGCGACGAUGCGUAGCCGGACUGAGAGGUUGAACGGCCACAUUGGGACUGAGACACGGCCCAGACUCCUACGGGAGGCAGCAGUAGGGAAUUUUCGGCAAUGGACGCAAGUCUGACCGAGCAACGCCGCGUGAGUGAUGAAGUUCUUCGGAACGUAAAAUUCUUUUAUUUGGAAAAAACGUAUAGUGUAGGAAAUGACAUUAUAGUGAUGGUACCAAAUGAAUAAGCCCCGGCUAACUAUGUGCCAGCAGCCGC